rnacentral:rRNA from 1 species
AUUGAACGCUGGCGGCAUGCCUUACACAUGCAAGUCGAACGGUAACAGGUCUUCGGAUGCUGACGAGUGGCGAACGGGUGAGUAAUACAUCGGAACGUGCCCGAUCGUGGGGGAUAACGAGGCGAAAGCUUUGCUAAUACCCCAUACGAUCUACGGCUGAAAGCGGGGGAUCUUCGGACCUCGCGCGGACGGAGCGGCCGAUGGCAGAUUAGGUAGUUGGUGGGAUAAAAGCUUACCAAGCCGACGAUCUGUAGCUGGUCUGAGAGGAUGAUCAGCCACACUGGGACUGAGACACGGCCCAGACUCCUACGGGAGGCAGCAGUGGGGAAUUUUGGACAAUGGGCGAAAGCCUGAUCCAGCCAUGCCGCGUGCAGGAUGAAGGCCUUCGGGUUGUAAACUGCUUUUGUACGGAACGAAAAGCCUCUUUCUAAUAAAGAGGGGUCAUGACGGUACCGUAAGAAUAAGCACCGGCUAACUACGUG